GGGAAGGCAUGGAUGCAGAACAGAGCAUGGAUGUAACGGUUGACAACGCAAUAGAACAGGGAACCAGGACCAGUGUCCGGUCCAUGGUGGUCCAGAAGUCCCUCAAGCAAGGCCGAACCUCCAGCCACAGAGACCUGCAGAACAAAUGGACAAGGCGCGAACCGCCAAAAACUUCACCCCUGGCCUGACGUCACCCUUUCGACUCUCCCCUCCGCUCCUUUCCGGCCUGUUUUCAUACUGGAGCAUAGGUCUGUAAUAGCUUUCUGGCAUAUGUUGGUCAAUUAGUUUUGCCCCAAGGGGGGACUUAAUUCGGUUCGAAAUGGAUUGUUCAUAUGAUGUGGAAUUAUUGUAAACACGAUGCGAUCCUCAAAGUGGGUUUGGCAAUGCGAAAUCAAUGGAUUUGUUCCGUUCAGAGCCCCUGCGCUCACAAUUCACCGAUCUCAGAUUAAUGCUGUAAUUACGUCUGCUCCAAGACCACAAGGGCGGCAUAUGGAAAACUAGAAUGUUACGCCUAGACAGACAAUACCUUUAUGUAUCUUGACCUCGCUUGAAAUAGAAAAUGUAAUCAUGCUUUCCUUCUCGAAACGCGACUCAUGCGCUGGCGAUGUGUCAUGAGCUUUAGAGCAGCGGCCAAGCAAUGUACACACCUUCUCUUUGGGUUCAGCGGCUGUCAUGUUAGGUAAGAUUACACGUUGUAUUAAAAUUGCAUUCAAGAUAGAAUUUAUUCAGAUGAACACUCGCAUUCAACUUUGGGACAUUGUACCCUUGAAGCAGUAAAUGGAACUUGUGGGGUGUAAGCCAUAGACAAAGGCCUGUAUUCAAAUGCCAUUUGCCCAUAACUUUAACUCACAAUUAAAUUCUUGUGUAUUGUCACAAUGCGUUUGCAAUUUUUUUCUAAGUGUUUAUUUGUAAAUUGUAAAUUAAAUAUAAAUUUUGAUUGAAUAUGGGUCACAGACUUUAAA